GAUAAACGCUGGCGGCGUGCAUAACACAUGCAAGUCGAACGAUGAAACUUAGAUGAUUUCUUCGGAAUGAACUUAAGUGGAUUAGUGGCGAACGGGUGAGUAACACGUGAGUAACCUGCCUUACACAAGGGGAUAGCCUCUGGAAACGGAGAAUAAUACCCUAUAAAGUCUAAUCAGCUCCUGCUGGAAAGACCAAAGAUUUAUCGGUGUAAGAUGGACUUGCGUCUGAUUAGCUAGUUGGUGAGAUAAAAGCUCACCAAGGCGACGAUCAGUAGCCGGCUUGAGAGAGUGUACGGCCACAUUGGGACUGAGACACGGCCCAAACUCCUACGGGAGGCAGCAGUGGGGAAUUUUGCACAAUGGGGGAAACCCUGAUGCAGCGACGCCGCGUGAUUUAGAAGGCCUUCGGGUUGUAAAAAUCUUUUUUACGGGAUGAAAAUGGCAGUACCGUAAGAAUAAGGUCCGGCUAAAUACGUG
rnacentral:rRNA from 1 species